GAUGAAGAACGCAGUGAAAUGCGAUAAGUAAUGUGAAUUGCAGAAUUCAGUGAAUCAUCGAAUCUUUGAACGCACAUUGCGCCCGCCAGUAUUCUGGCGGGCAUGCCUGCCCGAGCGUCAUUUCAACCCUCGAACCCCUCCGGGGGGUCGGCGUUGGGGAUCGGCACUUACCUGCCGGCCCCGAAAUACAGUGGCGGUCUCGCCGCAGCCUCUCCUGCGCAGUAGUUUGCACACUCGCACCGGGAGCGCGGCGCGUCCACGGCCGUAAAACAACCCAAACUUCUGAAAUGUUGACCUCGGGUCAGGUAGGAAUACCCGCUGAACUUAAGCAUAUCAAUAAGCGGAGGA
rnacentral:misc_RNA from 1 species